AAAUUGGUAUGGGCAAGGGGAAUCUGACUCGUUAAUUUAAAAAAAAAUCACGAUGGUCCCUAUGGAUGUUGACACAGUGUGAUCUAUGCUUAGUUCUCUGCAUGUCAAAGUGAAGAAAUUCAACCAAGCGUGGGUAAACAGCGGGAUUAAUUGUGACUCUCUUAAGGUGGUCAGACGUCUUACCAUCUAAAUAAUGACACGCAUGAAUAGAUUAAUGAGAUUCCCACUGUCCCUAGCUACUAUCUAGAGAAACCAUAGACAAGGAAAUGGGCUUGGUAGAAUUAGCGAAGAAAGAAGACCCUGUUGAGCUUGACAUUAGUUCGACUUUGUGAAAUGACUUGAGAGGUGUAGAAUAAGUGGGAGCCGUUUCAGCGCAAGUGAAAUACGGCCACUACUUUUAACAUUAUUUUAGUUAUUUUGUGGGGCGGAGACAGGGCAUUGCACAUAUGUUCAAAUAUAACGCACAUUUCCUCAAAGUGUUUUCAUUGAUGGAAAUGGUCAAGAGCUCAUUCUUCAUGCAUUUGAUGGCAAUGACUUUAGGAAACCAAAGAGAAUCAUUAUUUUUAAGGACGUACAAAGUUCCUACAAAGAGGAUCAUAUGUAAGAUAUUAAUAUUGCUCUUGACCUUAUUCACCAACAU
rnacentral:ncRNA from 1 species